rnacentral:hammerhead_ribozyme from 1 species
AUUCAACUGACGAGUUCCACAUGGGACGAAACGUCUAUCCUGAAU